rnacentral:rRNA from 1 species
UGAGGAAUAUUGGUCAAUGGGCUUACGCCUGAACCAGCCAAGUCGCGUGAGGGAAGACUGCCCUAUGGGUUGUAAACCUCUUUUGUCAGGGAGCAACAACAUCUACGAGUAGGUGUUACGAGAGUACCUGAAGAAAAA